rnacentral:misc_RNA from 1 species
GCAAACUUGGUCAUUUAGAGGAAGUAAAAGUCGUAACAAGGUCUCCGUUGGUGAACCAGCGGAGGGAUCAUUACCGAGUUUACAACUCCCAAACCCCUGUGAACAUACCUGUUUUGUUGCUUCGGCGGUGCCCUCUUCGCUCCUGCGGUGAGGCCCGCCAGAGGACCCAAACAAACUCUUUGAUUUUGGAUCUAGGAUUUACUUCUGAGUGAUACAAAAAAAAUAAAAUCAAAACUUUCAACAACGGAUCUCUUGGUUCUGGCAUCGAUGAAGAACGCAGC